AUAGACGUUAGCUCAGUGGUUAGAGCACAGGCCUCUGGCUCUCGGGUCCGCGAGUUCGAGUCCCGUCGUCUACU
rnacentral:tRNA from 1 species